UAGAAUAUGAAUAAAACUUAUCUAUCCAAAUAAGAUUUAUCUACCUAAAUAAAUUUAAAAUAUAUACAUAUUUCAACACCCUCCCUCAAGUUGGUGCAUAUAUAUCAAUCAUGCCCAACUUGCUUACAAGAAAAUCAAAGCUUGUCUUAAAGAGUCCUUUGGUGAGUAUGUUAGCAAUCUGUUGUUUUGAAGGAACAAACGGCAUGCACACUUGGCCUUCUUCAAUCUUUUCCUUGAUAAAGUGUCUAUCAAUCUCAACAUGUUUAGUUCUGUCAUGUUGGACUGGGUUGUGAGCAAUGCUAAUGGCAGCUUUACUAUCACAGUAUAACUUCAUUGGUGAAGUUAUUGGUUUCCUCUGCUCUUCCAUAAUUCUUUUUAACCACACCAUUUCACAAAUUCCUUGAGCCAUUGAUCUAAACUCAGCCUCUGCACUACUUCUUGCUACAACAGUUUGUUUUUUGUUUCGCCAAGUCACAAGGUUUCCCCAAACAAAUGUACAGUAUCCUGAUGUAGAUCUUCUGUCUGUUAUUGAGCCUGCCCAAUCUGCAUCUGUAUAAGCUUCAAUUCCUCUUUGUUCGGAUUUCAUGAAGAAUAAGCCCUUUCCCGGUGAACUCUUCAAGUAUUUUAGAAUUCGAAACACUGCUUCUUCAUGUUCCUCCAUUGGGGAGUGCAUAAAUUGAUUCACUAAGCUUACUGCAAAAGCUAUGUCUGGCCUUGUAUGUGAUAAGUAAAUUAACUUACCAACUAAUCUUUGGUACUGCCCUUUAUCAACUAAUCGACCUUCUUUAUUUUCAAAUUUUAUAUUUGGAUCAAUUGGUGUGUCAGCUGGGCGGCAACCACUCAUCCCAGCCUCUUUUAAAAGAUCAAUCACAUAUUUUUUCUGAGAGACCACAAGACCCUUCUUUGAUCGAGCAACUUCCAUUCCAAGAAAGUAUUUCAAAGGACCCAAGUCUUUGAUCUCAAACUCCAAUGCUAGUUGCUCCUUGAGACGUCUUAUUUAAUCCACAUCAUCUCCUGUAAGAAUGAUAUCAUCGACAUAAACUAUAAUAACAGCUAUUCUACCUUUUUGUGAAUGUCGAUAGAACAUUGUGUGAUCAGCUUGCCCUUGUGAGUAACCUUGUUUUUUAACAACUUGAGUGAAUCGUUCAAACCAAGCUCGAGGAGACUGCUUCAGACCGUAUAAAGAUUUCUUGAGUUUACAUACUCGAGUUCCAAAUUUUUCUUCAAAACCUGGAGGAGGAUCCAUGUAAACUUCUUCUUCAAGUUUUCUAUUUAGGAAAGCAUUCUUCACAUCUAGCUGCUGUAAAGACCAAUCAAGAUUAACAGCAAUUGAUAAAAGAACUCUGACGGAAUUUAAUUUGGCCACUGGAGCAAAUGUUUCAAGAUAAUCUAUCCCGUAUGUUUGAGUGUACCCUUUUGCUACCAACCGGGCUUUGUAUCUAUCUAAAGAUCCUUCUGGUUUAAAUUUGGUUGUGAACACCCAUUUACAGCCCACUGUUUUUUUCCCUACAGGUAAUUCCAUUGUUUCCCAUGUACCUGUUUUUUCAAGAGCACGCAUCUCCUCUAAAAUAGCCUCCUUCCACUCAGGAACCUGUAAAGCAUCUUUCACAUUUUUUGGUAUUUGGACAAUAUCAAGACACGAAACAAAGGUUGAGAAUGUCGAAGAUAAGGCUUUAUAGGAUACAAAGAUCUUGCGGGUCGGAUUCUUGGUGAUGAAUCUGGUGGAUUCCACUUUCUUGAUUUCGAUUUCUUCUUGAGUAAACAAUUAACUCCUUUGUUUGUUCUUUAUUUUCAUGAUCAGACUCUACACCUUCAUCCUCCUUUUCAUUAACAUUAACAUCAUUAAUUUUUGUGUUAAUUAUAAAUUCGCCUUCCCCAUUAUUAGAAUCCCUAUGUUGUAUAUUCUUAGUCUCUUCUUGAUCAAUUAUAGAAUCUUUUUUAGUAUAAUUCCCUCCCUGAAGAUUAGAAUCAAAAUAAGAUUGUGUUUCAACAAAUGUGACAUCCAUGGUAACUAUAAUCUUCCUAUCAAUUGGAUCAUAACAUUUGUAACCCUUUUUAUUAGAAGCAUAACCAACAAAGACACCUUUUUUUGCUUUAGGAUCUAGUUUACCUUGGUUGUGAAGAUGAACAAAAACACUACACCCAAAAACUCGGAGGGAUAAAUCUGUAAUCAAUUUAGAGUUAGGAAAGUUAUCUUUAAAGAGACUAAAAGGAGUUCUAUAAUUUAGAAUUUUAUUGGGCAUUCUAUUAAUAAGAUAUGUAGCUGUUAACAAGGCUUCGCCCCAAAUAUAACGUUGUACUUGACUAGUGAACAUCAAGGCUCUAGUUACUUCCAAAAGAUGUCGGUUUUUUCUUUCUGCAAUCCCAUUUUGUUGUGGUAUAUUUGUACAAGAACUUUGGUGGACUAUUCCAUGUUUGGUUAAGAAAAUACCUAAUUGGUCGCUAAAAAAUUCCCCACCAUUGUCAGUUCGAAAUACUUCUAUUUUCACACCAAAUUGUGUUUUCACCAUAGCAUAAAAAGACUGAAACACAUUUUUAACUUCGGACUUAUCUUUUAAUAAAAACACCCAACAAAGUCGAGUAUGAUCAUCAAUAAAUGUGACAAACCAACGUUUUCCUAAAAAAGUCGAGACUUUUGAAGGUCCCCAAACAUCACUAUGAAUUAACGAAAAAGGUUUGGAGGCUUUAUAUUUUUGAGGUGGAAAGAAUGAUCGAUGAUGUUUAGCCAAUUCACAAAAUUCACAAUGAUAUAAAGAAGGACUUUUAUUUUUAAAUAGAUUAGGUAACAAAUAUCUUAAAUAAUAAAAAUUAGGAUGUCCAAGCCUAUAAUGCCAAAUCAUAACCUUAUCAAAA